GACACAACUUCAGGCCAUUCCCUUGUGUCCUGUCACUGGUCACCACAGAGAAGAGAUCAGUGCCUGCCCCUCCGCUUCCCCUCAAGAGGAAUCUGUAGACUACAAUGAAGUCCCCGCUCGGUGUUCUCCAGUCUGAACAAACCAGAAACUUCAACACUGGGCUCCCUCAAUAGGCAGUAAUCUGCAAUACCAGAUAUGUGUAUUAUCCUGAAAAGUUCAGGUGGGAGGAAGAUGUACAGAAGUGUGCCCUUUUUUGGGAUGCAUCAACUCACACACCUUCCUGGAAAAGACAAAAGGACAAAGAAAAAAACCUCAGCCCUGAGAAAAAAACAUCGACAAAGAAUUCUGUGUUGCUCUGUCACUUUCCAUUUCAUAUGAAAAUACUUCUUCCAAAAUUUGGAAGCAUUUUGUAAGAACAUUCA